UACGGGGGGGGCAAGCGUUGUUCGGAAUUACUGGGCGUAAAGGGCUCGUAGGCGGCCAACUAAGUCAGACGUGAAAUCCCUCGGCUUAACCGGGGAACUGCAUCUGAUACUGGAUGGCUUGAGUUCGGGAGAGGGAUGCGGAAUUCCAGGUGUAGCGGUGAAAUGCGUAGAUAUCUGGAGGAACACCGGUGGCGAAGGCGGGUCUCUGGGCAGUAACUGACGCUGAGGAGCGAAAGCGUGGGGAGCGAACAGG
rnacentral:rRNA from 1 species